rnacentral:rRNA from 1 species
UACGUAGGGGGCAAGCGUUGUCCGGAAUCAUUGGGCGUAAAGCGCGCGUAGGCGGCCCGGUAAGUCCGUUGUGAAAGUCAAAGGCUCAACCUUUGAACGCCGAUGGAUACUGCCGGGCUAGAGUCCGGAAGAGGCGAGUGGAAUUCCUGGUGUAGCGGUGAAAUGCGCAGAUAUCAGGAGGAACACCAAUAGGCGAAGGCAGCUCGCUGGGACGGUACUGACGCUGAGACGACGAAGCGUGGGGAGCGAAACAGG